CACCAUGAGAGUUGGAGAUACCCGAAGCCUGUGAGCUAACUUUAGAGGCAGCAGUCGAAGGUAGAAUCAAUGAUUGGGGUGAAGUCGUAACAAGGUAAC
rnacentral:rRNA from 1 species